rnacentral:pre_miRNA from 2 species
AAAUGCAUUACAGGGCGAGAUCUCUAUUGGCAAGAACGCAUUACUUGACCUUUGCAUCUCUUUAUGCAUUGGUUUGUCAAGUUCUCUGCCAAAGGAGAUUUAACCGGUAAUUCUCCU